GGGGGCGACAUGGCUUCGACGGGGGCAGAGAGGUCGAGGCUGCGUGCCGAGGUCCCCGACACCUCGUUAAUCCCGGGAACAACUUCAAGCGCCGACGAUAACUCGUACGCUUUGGCGGCCUGAAAAGGCUGCCCGCUGGGGCCGGUGUAGCCUGCGACGCCGGCCCCGGCGACAGGAAAGCAGGCUAGCGGACGCGCUUUCGUUCACGGGCCGUUCGCGAAACCCCGUGAACUGGCCCCCCGAGGAUCCUGUCAGCCGGAGCCACAGGGGGCGAGAACCAAACGACUGACUAUGCACGUAGAGGUCUCGGAGGAACUGCUUUCGGACGCGGGUUCGAUUCCCGCCGCCUCCACCA
rnacentral:tmRNA from 1 species